UGGGUCUGAGAUAGUCAUCUUACUAAGAGGUUCGUUCUGAGCUAAAAAUACAGAAGAGAAAAAACAAUGAUCUCAGCAAGGUAAUUGCCAAUAGGUGAGCAAAUGAAACAGACAGAGUGUGAACAGCAAUUUGGCCGUCCGCGGGGGAGGGGACAAGCACGCAUGGCUAACGCCAGGGUGGCACCAGCAAUAGUUAGAGCCCAGCAAAACAGAUGAAAACUGGUCAUCCAGCUAUUCAACACUUCACACUCCUGGCUGCCGCCCGGAGGCAUUCAUUCCUGGCAAUGUGGGGGGGGGGGGCGGUGAGACAAGAGAAGGAUGACAAGCUGACAGGAAGGAGAAUGAGGGUGUCUUUUUUUCCUAACCUUCAGGUAUCCCAGUUGAUCCUACUUAACAUUUUUUUCCUGUGCGGAUUUUAUGCACCGAUGGCAAGCAAUGUGUAAGGAAGCAGGAAAUUUCGUUUCUGUUUGGGCUUGGCCGGGACCUCUGGGCAGCCAGCUUGCUGUUUUAUUUUAAGAAAGCAGCUGUAUUUUAGCUGGGGAGUAUGUUUUGCAGCGAGAUUUUUCAAGUGCCAUCGUCCAGACUGGUUUAGUCCAGAGUGAAAGCAGGAGGGAGCGAGAUGACUCGAAAGUCCAAACCCCGUCUCCCGCACAAUCUGAACUGUGAACGCCACGGGGUGACCAGCCCCCAAGACAUCUUUGGCCCCUCGACGAGGGCGCUGAGACCUGGAACCUCUGCGUGUCGCUGGGAUUCCGGACUGAUCAGGUUACCGGGGAAAGCCACACAGGUCCUGGGCUGCUGCAGCCUCUCAAGGAUUCCUCCUCCCUCAGAAAGCUCUCGGCUUGAGCCCGGAAAGAACACUACCACAUUUUUCUUGGCUUUUUAUAGGGUGUUGAUCCAAGGAUCUGUUUUUACAUUUGAAUGCAGCAGUCAACUGGAGCGUAAUAGAUUGCAGACCUUUGUGAGAAAUCACUGUGAAGGCUUCGGCAGGGAACUGUGGGCUGCUGCGGAGAACUGCACUGUCAGCAGAUAUAGGCCUCUGGGAUCGAGGAGACUCCCUGGGACCUAGAAAGUACGUCUGUUCCUCCCAAGAGUUCUUCACCAACCGCGGCACACUUCUACCCAUGACCGAAUACCGUAACUCACCCACUCCAGGCAUGUGCCAAGGUUCUCAAAGCAGCAUCUUUCCCAUCUCACCAUUUGUGCCUACCUUAGCUGUUCGGCCAGUUACCCAUUUGGAUUUGGCUCUGCUUUGGGUUCACUCUUUUGGGUUUGACAUGAACGAAUUGGCCUGCAGACUGAUACGUGAUUGAAACUCAGCUUUGAGGGACGACUAACCCAGCUUGGCUUUGAAAACCUGAUCUUUUCCUACAACUUUUGGUGAACAGUGCUCCCACCUUGCUCCCUGCUUCCCCCCCCCCCACCGCCAGCCCAGUCCUUCUCUUCCCCACCUCCCUUUCCCAAGCCCAGACCUGGGUCGGGGUAGAAGGGGUGGCAAGAUUAGACAGUCUUCCGACAGACUCUCUCAGGAAUACCUCAUGUCUGAUGUAGGUAAACUACUAGCUGAGAACUCUCUGGUCUCAAAUGUAGAUGGCUUUGGAUUCAGCACAACCUCAUUGCCUAAAGAUGUAAUUAGUGCUAUUUAAGGAGACAUGCUACUCGGGCCCUUGGUUGUGAAACCUUCUGCUCCAGGGUAAAAUGAUCGAUGACUUCCUCCUAAAAUUUCCUAUGGUCUUUAUCUCUCUCUCUUUUUUUAAUUUAAAAAAAAUUUUUUUAAAUGUCUUAUUUAUUCUUAUGAGGGAGAGAGAGAGAGAGACAGAGAAUGAGCAGAAGAGGGGCAGAGAGAGAAAGGGAGACCCAGAAUCUGAAGCAAGCUCCAAGCUCUGACCUGUCAGCACAGAGCCCAACGUGUGGGCUCAAACCCAUGAACCACAAGAUCAUGACCUGAGCUGAAGUCAGGUGCUUAACUGACUGAGCCACCCAGGCGCCCCGGUCCUUAUGUCUUAUUGUCCCUUUCAAAUAGUAGCAUUUCUUUUAUUUAACCAAGAAAGCUUCUUUUUUUUUCCCCCCAGCUUUUCAAUAGACCCAAACCUUCUCCAUGAAUCUGAUUUUGCCUUUAAUCUAAUACCACCCAAAUUGUCCAAAGAUCCCUCUCAAAAAUUUUGUUUACAUUUUAUUUACAAAAUAUAGAACAAAUAAGACACAAGCACCCAAAUGCUAUCAUUCGUUAACAUAAUAUAUGAAGUAAGUACAGGGACACCUGGGUGGCUCAGUCGGUUAAGUGUCCGACUCUUGAUUUUGGAUCAGGUCAUGAUCUCACAGUUCAUGGGAUGGAGCCUCAGGUUGGGCUCUGUGGUUUCAGCGUGGAGCCUGUUUGGAAUUCUCUCUCUUUCUCUCUCUCUCUCUCUCUCUCUCUCUGCCCUUCCCCUACUUGUAUGUGCUCUCUCUCUCUCUCUCUUAAAAUACACCAUCCAAAAUCCAUGGCACUCACUUCUUCCCACCUGCACCACCACACUCUACACCAGCCGCCAUCAUUUCUCACUGGGUGACAGCGUAAGCCUCUAAGCAGUCUCCCCAACCUCUCCCCUUUCUUCUAAAAACGUCAGUGCUCUGGACUGCACGCAAACGACACAUCCCAGCUCUGGUUAAGCAGGAAGUAGAUGGUGGGCAAUCGCUUGGCAAGUUUCAUGGAAUUGAUGAGAAGGUGGUAGAACUACCCUCAGAAAUCAGCGGGAACCCAGGGAGUCUGGGAAGCAGCCCCAGUAACAUCAAGGUUCCAGACGAGCUUGGUCAGGAUGUUCUGUUGCCUCCGCUGGGCCUCGACACUGCUCUAGCAUGGGCCCCCUGGUGGCAUUAGGCUGGAGACUCCAACUGGCCCUCGGGCUGGCCGCCCCUGCCACUGCUGGAAUAAAUCUGCCUCGUCCCAGGUCUUUGUCUCA
ensembl:lncRNA